rnacentral:lncRNA from 1 species
AAUUAUCCUCAAAUCAAUAGCUCAAGAAGAAGAAGAUUCAGAAAAAUCAAAAAAUAGUGAAGAUGAUGAGGACUUGGUAUUAAUCAAAAAAAAUUUAGACGUUUCAUGAGAAAAAGAAGACAAGGGACCAAGAAAAGACCAACAGUUAAGGGGGAGCCGAGUAAAAAAAAAGAGAAAGAACAGUCUGUCGUUUGUUAUAAGUGUAAGAAAUUGGACCAC